UACGUAGGGGCCUAGCGUUGUCCGGAUUUAUUGGGCGUAAAGCGCGUGUAGGCGGCUUUGCAAGUCGGGUGUGAAAGCCCUCAGCUCAACUGAGGAAGUGCGCCCGAAACUGCAGAGCUUUGAGUGCCGGAGAGGGUGGCGGAAUUCCCCAAGUAGAGGUGAAAUUCGUAGAUAUUCGGAAGAACACCAGUGGCGAAGGCGGCUCACUGGUCCGGUACUGACGCUGAGGUGCGAAAGCGUGGGGAGGCAAACAGG
rnacentral:rRNA from 1 species